ACAAGUCCUACACGUUGCAGUAUAACUUGAGGAACCAGAUGAUUGCUGCAGUCAAUGGAAGGAUCCUGGCCUUUGCAACUGGAAAUGGGUGACAUGAGAAGUGCAGAUGAAUAAAAACCGGUCAUUUUAAAAUGGGUCAAAGGAUUGCCACUGGACAAGGGUGACAUGAGAAGUGCAAAUGAGAAAUAACUGGUACAAGGGUCGCCACUUAGAAAACAGUGACCUGAAAAGUGCAGAUGAAUUAAUGGUAAUUUUUUUUUUAAUGAUUAUUAUUUCUUCAGGUAUUCAUUGUAAUUGGUUUAAAAUGAGAAUAUUUGAUUUUCUACCAUCAAAUUUUUCUUUAACUGCGAAUUUGUGUGUUUUUGAGAUGAAAUGUGUGAUUCUUGCAAUGAUGAAUAUCACUUUUGCCGUUUACCCAUCAGACCAGAUUGGGUUGCUGACAACGUGA
ensembl:lncRNA